rnacentral:rRNA from 1 species
GACGAACGCUGGCGGCGUGCUUAACACAUGCAAGUCGAACGGAAAGGCCCUGCUUUUGUGGGGUGCUCGAGUGGCGAACGGGUGAGUAACACGUGAGUAACCUGCCCUUGACUUUGUGAUAACUUCAGGAAACUGGGGCUAAUACCGGAUAGGAGCUCCUGCUGCAUGGUUGGGGUUGGACAGUUUCGGCGGUUGGGGAUGGACUCGCGGCUUAUCAGCUUGUUGGUGGGGUAGUGGCUUACCAAGGCUUUGACGGGUAGCCGGCCUGAGAGGGUGACCGGCCACAUUGGGACUGAGAUACGGCCCAGACUCCUACGGGAGGCAGCAGUGGGGAAUAUUGCACAAUGGGCGGAAGCCUGAUGCAGCAACGCCGCGUGCGGGAUGACGGCCUUCGGGUUGUAAACCGCUUUCGCCUGUGACGAAGCGUGAGUGACGGUAAUGGGUAAAGAAGCACCGGCUAACUACGUG